AUGCGUGGUCACAAUGGUCAGGUAUUGGGGUUCGACGCUAUUGAAGACGAUCGGGCUCGACUGGCUGAUAGAGAACUUGCUCUCUCUUUGUUCAAGAAGCAGAGGGUACAGUUUGACUCCCCAGAAAAACCAGACUCUGUUGUUAAGCUUUUCAAGGACCAUGGAUUUGGGGAUACCCACAUCUCCGAAAUUGUCAAGAAACUCCCAGAGCUGCUCGUAGUCAAUGCUGAGAAGACCCUUUUGCCGAAACUCGAGUUCUUUGGCUCUGUUGGAAUUACAGGCACUGAUCUCAUUCAGGCCCUUUGCGGUAACCCAAUUGUCUUGAAGAUGAGCUUAGAGAAUAAUAUCAGACCUUGUUAUGAUAUCAUCAAGACUAUAGGUACCCCUGAUGGAAAGGUCCCUUGUUUCAUUAUGAAAUCCCAUAGGAUGUUUAAGGCCAAAAUACUGAGCAAUGUUUCCCACAAUGUUUCAUUUCUGAGGUCACUAAAAGUGCCGGAAUCCACACUCAAUCUGUGUAGGCCUGAGACUCUGGUUACAACGUCAACCGAUGCCGAUGAGUUUAAUGGAAAUGUCAACAAGGUCAUCAGCAUGGGAUUUUCACCUUCAAGCUUUGGGUUUUUGAAAGCACUGUAUGUAAUUUCUGUGAUGGAUGAAAAGUUGGCACAGAAGAAGGAGUUUUAUAGAAAGUGUGGAUGGACUGAAGAUGAUAUAUUGUUGGCAUUUAGUAAGAAUCCCAUCUUUAUAACCGUCUCUGAGAAGAACGUUUCAAGUAAAAUGGAUUUUCUUGUGAACGAAAUUGGUUUGCAGCCGGCUGAUGUGGCUAAAUAUCCCAGUAUUCUAAUUUAUAGUUUGGAGAAGUGGAUCAUACCUAGGUGGUCAGUUAUUAGAGUUCUGCUGUUGAAGGGCUUAAUAAGGGAGGGACAAUUUUCUUUAGUUGGCACCGCAUUAAUGGGAAGGAAAGACCACUUCUUGCAUAGGUUUGUGGACAAGUAUAAAGAGCAAAUAUUUAAACCUAGGUUGCCCAUAUUAAUAAAGUUCAUGAAGCCAGUAUUUGGUUUCAACUCCUCUUUAGUCCUCUCAGGAGGACAUUUACAGAGCUUUCAUGAAAUAAGUAGGAGUAUGUAACACUGUCAAUAUAGAAGCAAUUAAUGAUAUUGUUUCGGUUAAUGUUCCUGAAAACUUAUCUGGGGAUGUUGCUGGAAACAAAAACCUAGCAUCAAAUGUUCUUCAAGUAUCACACUAUACAGUGCCCAUGAUAUCUUCUCUGCAAUCUACAUUUGUGACUGCUCUUUUCAACUGCAAGCCUCCAAAUCCCUAUGGACAUUUAGGAGAGCAUCUUCUUUGGCAUCUCAUCCAGCAAGAAAUCUUUUUAUGGUUGGCAGUUACAUUGCCAAUUGAUUGUAUGAAUUUUCAAGGGGUUUACAAUGGAGUAUUCCUUACUUCAAUCUCCCAUGGGAAUCUGGGAAGAGCUUCCAAGCCUCAAGUCCUUAUACCACUGAAGUCCUUAUACCUCAAGUCUGUAUGCUCGAAGUCCUACACUACUGAAGGUUAUGAUUCAGAAAUUUUCAAAAGCAAGCAACUAGAAGAAGAGAGUUCUGAUAAGGUUACUUCAGUAUAUGGGUUUCCAGUUACUCCAAUAGCAUACAGACCGUUCUUUGAGUUGGAGGGUGAAAAUUUUAAACCUGAAGCCGAGUAUCUCUCCGGUUCUUAUAACUCUAACAGUGGUAGCUUGCUCCUAGUACAUAUUUUACUCCUAUUCAUUCUGAAACUGAGGAAGAAAAAUUCUGAGAGACAGAGUGGUUAUGGAGCACUCGCAUUCCCAAGAUUUGAGAUAUUUCUUGUAAUUCUUGCACUACCUUGUAUUUGUGAGGCCUCCUCUGCACUAGUUAAAGGUACUUCCCAAACAUUUUUAACCUUUUCUAGAGGAGCGUCAUCUGGAGUUAUAGUUGGCUGUCUGUUGUUGGCUAUCACAUCUUUUUUGCUGUCUUGUUCCUUUUCCUCUCAGUCGGCAUUACAUUUGGGAAGUUACUUCAAUACAAGGAAGUACAUCAAGAAGGAGAGAAAUUUCUAUGGUUUCAAGAGAUUGUCCGAGCGACACUGGGUCCAGGAAAAAGAGGUCAGUGGACAUGGAAAGAAAAACCAAGCUCUGUAUAUCUAAUUAUAUUUGGCCCUCUCUUUGAAGAUCUGAGAGGCCCUCCAAAAUACAUGCUCUCUUAGAUUUCUGAGGGCAAUGCUCGCAAGCAAGGUGAGCGUAUUAUUGACUCUGAUGAUGAAACAGAAGAUGCAGAAGCACCUUUUAUCCAGAAACUGUUUGGUAUACUCGGAAUAUACUACGUACACACUAUUAGAAUGUUUGAAAAGGGUUUCUGUUGGGAUCAUGGCUGGUCUCUACAUGGAAAGAUGGAAUUCAAGAACUCCUUCAAUUACCUUACUGUGCAUAACCUCUUUUCAACUUUUCUUCCUCGUUCUUAAGAAGCCGCAUGUUUAUCAAGAAAAAGGUUCAGUUGGUUGAGAUCAUCUCGGUUUCCAGUGAAGUAGGUUUAUUUGCAACUUGUUUGGUUCUCUUGGAGAAGGAAUUUUCAGCCAGUGACAGGACUAAGCUUGGUAUUUUCAUCAUACUGCUGUUCUUAGUUGGAUACAUUGCACAGAUGAUUAAUGAAUGGUAUGCAUUGUAUGGUGUGUUCUGGAAUGUACGCAGUACCUUGAGUACUGCGGCUGUCUGGAGCACGUGUCAAGCAGCGGGUGGAGAAGCUUUUAGCGCGUGUUGUGCAUAACUCUCGGUAAUUCUCCCUCCGCGACGACGAUAUGGAGGUGGGUAGCUCGAUUUAAUUGGGGAAUAGUGGUUUGGUGUGUUGAAGAAGCUUCAGUUUGGUAGGAUUUGUCAAAAAAGAUCUGAAGUUAGGAGAGAGAGGUGGGUGGUGAUCCAUUUUCGUUUCUUGAGUUAGGAAUUGAUUUUCGUUUCUUGAAGUUUGGUGAUCGAGUUCAAUUUGCCUGAUCGGGUUGACGGGCCACCGACUUCAAAGGCCGAGUUGACUCGGUGGUGUUCAGUCGCCGUCGUUUUGGUGUUGAGGCCUGGGAAUGCGACUGAGGAACACACCAUCAUAUGCUGAAUUGAAGAUCUCAGAGAGGAUAAGGGCUCAGUGACCGCUAUAAGCUACUUCCAGUUGAUUUGCACAACACACAUCAAUUACACAAGCUAAUAGCUUUGGCUUGUCUGGAUCCCGGGACUAGUGGCCUGUGUUUUGGUGUCGAGGCCUGGGAAUGCGACUGAGGAACACACCAUCAUCUACUGAAUUGAAGAUCUCAGGUACCUUAGUUAUUCUGAAGCAUUUGGUGAAGCAUCUGCCCUCAUUUACCAUCGGCAUACCUGAUUCGUACAAGAUUGUGAACCAACUGAGCUGCAACAGCUGCAGAGCAAGACACCAUAUCACCAAGCUCCACCAAAGUGAAGUUUGCAGCAACCUAAAGAGAGUACCUUGAAGGAGCUUUACAAAGAAGCCUGUGCAAAGAGACUAAAGAGGUACUGAACAAAACAAGGGUACUGCUUAGUUGUGCAUGAACGUUAAACUAAGAAGUAUAGGAGUUUUUUUAUCUUAGUUCUAGCUGCUCAACUUAGUUUAACAGAGCCACUUGACGAGUAGUAUUGCU